GUAUUUUUUUGGUGAGGGAGAUACAAUUAUUGCAAAGGUCAUUUUCCCAGGGCAAGGAUUAUCUAUUGCACUCACUGUGUUGACCCCUGAAAUUUCCCCAAAGAGGGAAAAAUAGUUAUGAUUUGUGGUAGUGAGGACAGAGUUUAUUUUCUCUUCU
rnacentral:snRNA from 1 species